rnacentral:rRNA from 1 species
UGAGUAACGCGUACGCAACUUACCUCCAAGAGGGGAAUAGCCCUGGGAAACUGGGAUUAAUGCCCCAUAGUUUAUUGACACUGCCUGGUGUUAAUAAUAAAGCUUUGGUGCUUGGAGAUAGGCGUGCGUCCUAUUAGCUAGUUGGUGAGGUAACGGCUCACCAAGGCGAUGAUAGGUAGGGGGCGUGAGAGCGUGACCCCCCACACGGGUACUGAGACACGGACCCGACUCCUACGGGAGGCAGCAGUAAGGAAUAUUGGACAAUGGAGGCAACUCUGAUCCAGCCAUCCCGCGUGCAGGAUGAAUGCCCUUUGGGUUGUAAACUGCUUUUACUAGGGAAGAAAGGUAGUCAUUUAUGAUUAUUUGACGGUACCUAAAGAAUAAGCACCGGCUAACUCCGUGCCAGCAGCCGCGGUAAUACGGAGGGUGCAAGCGUUAUCCGGAUUUACUGGGUUUAAAGGGUGCGUAGGCGGCUUAUUAAGUCAUAGGUGAAAGGCAUCGGCUUAACCGAUGGAUUGCCUGUGAUACUGGUGAGCUUGAAUUGGGUUGAGGUUGGCGGAAUGUGACAUGUAGCGGUGAAAUG